UUUGUGCCUUGUGUUCUGUGACCUCAAUUGUCCUAGUUAGCAUCAAAAGUGACUCUUUACAGAUGCAGAUUAGUGUUGAAGUUCUCAGGUGCUAUUAAUUUCUAAAUUGAUUUGAUGAAAAACAACUUGUUGCAUAUAGCCUGGAGUCUGAGUAACCUUUCCAUUACCUUUUUAAGUUUUAUUUUUUAUUUAUAUACUGUAUGGUGUAUUACACUUAUUAACUGUAAUGGGUGCCUUGUGUAAUUUUGUAUUUUUAGAUCACAUUCCAUUCUGUUAUAUAAAACCCCCUCAAAAAAUAUUUUGUUUUAACUGAGCAAGACGGCUUCAUCGUAUAUAUUUUACCUGUUAAUAGCAAGUAUUUUGUUUUAAAUUCUCAUCAGCUGUCUAAUUUUCAAUCAAGUAACUAAUGCAUAGACAAGUGAUGCUGCAGGCAGUUCUUCUUUUUCCACAAUAACAGUUUUGUAUGCAGUUUACAAAUUACAAAUGCUUCUAGUUUUGUAAGCAAAUCUUUAAGUAGUUUCAUAGACAAUCCUUUUUUGUGUCAUUGUUGAAUACAUUGAUGGAAUUGAUUGGGCUUUCCCCCAGCACUUCACAGUAUUCUAUGCAGUAUUGUCAGUGUUUUUAUAGCCUAAACUACUUAUUUCCACUUGCAGUGUUUGGGCUGCAGAAGCCUCCCCAGGCAGUGUUUUGGUUGCUAAUCUCAUUUGUUUGAGCUACUGCUAGUCCCUUUGCUGAACUUGUGCAACUAGAUUAUCUUCAAAUACUUAGGCUAUUUAAGUCCUUUUGCAGUUGCAAGCCACUUAGUCGUUCAUUAUUUGCGUGGUGGUGGAAGUAGCUCUGAGAUGUAACUAGUUACUGUAAUGCUUCGGCUUUAGAGGAGGAGAUGUGAUAUUGUGAAGUCCUGUAAAUCCAAUUUCUCUCCCUCCCCAGGUGACAGUAGUUAGCAUCAACCAUAGCACUUAACAGAUGCAGUUGGAAGAACUUGGAGUCCAGAGUGCGAAUGGCAGCGUGGCAAGUAGUAGGUAAAGUGGUAAUACUGUAAUAGUCGUAAAAUCUUAUUUGCCGUGUGAAGUAACAUCGUAGAAUGUGAGUUUUUAUUGUUCCGUCAUGAAGAUUGUUACUUGAACUUACAGUUUGAUUUACCAGUAUGAGUUGGAAGAAAACAAACUCAUAAUUUUACUGUGAAUCUUUUUAUAGUUGGUUAUUAAUUCUUUUAUGAAAGCAUAACUUCAUAAAGUUAAUUUGGAUCUGUAAGUUUAGGUAAGGCUCCUACACUGUGAAAGUGCCAGGCCCUUACAGUGUUAAAGUGCCAUCAACCAAGUGCUUUUCUAAUGAAAUUGUAAACGUUGUAAAGUUACUAUGAUUUUGAAGUUCUACAGUGGUGGGAAUGUUUCCUGUACUUUAAUCAGGAAAAGUGUUUUUAUUAGAGGAAGUGUAAGAAAGUUCCUUACAUGGAUUUUGUUAUCCAGCUCAAAUUUCUUGUCAUUGUAUAUGGUAUGUAGUAUAAUAUAAUUUUCUUAAAAAAACCAGGAAUAUUUAUAAAUGGCAGUUACAUAGAUGCAUUAAUAAUGAAUUCAAUAUUUAACAUUCUAUAUUGAAUUCUGAACACAGGCAUGACUUUUAUUGAAUUCUGGUAUCUUGUUUAUGUGGUUAUGAGUUUGACAGUUAUACGUAAUUCAAUUGUUAUUUUAGGUGUUUGACGGUUUGCAAAACUAUUCAAGGUUUUUAUUUUAUUUUCAUGGGGAAAGCUUUAUUUAUAUUUUUCACAACACCACUUAAUAUAGCUAAAAAUCUUCUUAAAUAUGGCAGUUUAUCACUGAUGCCAGUCAAAGGCUCUUAGAAUUUGAUGGAAAUUAAAAAUAUGGUAUGUACGUAAUUAGAAAUAACUCUGUUUGCUGUUUGUUAAAUGUGUGAUUUCUGACAUUUCCACUAUUAUCCAAGGUAGUCUAUAGACUACCUUGGAUAAUAGUGGAAAUGUCAGAAAUCACACAUUUUCCUAAGGUAAAUAAAUUUAUUCAUAUAUAGAUAUUUUUAUAUUUUUGUUAUAUGGUAACAAAACCAGUUUUGCACCCUAUUGUUGACAAGCCUCAUCCAUUAAAGAAAUUGAUGUAUUUUUAUUGUCAUAACUCGGGCUUCUUUUAAAUAUGAAGUCAGAAGUAUAGUACAUAAUCUGCCCUUAAUUGUAGACAGUAACUUAACUCAAUUUCAUCUUAGUAUUGUGGAUGUGUGUGGGGCAUAUAAAUGAUUAAGUACUGAAUAUAAUAUGCUGUCCCCACUAUGUAUACCAUGGAGCAAGCACAUGCAUAACAUAACUGCCAUAUCAAGAAAUUAUGUACUACUUGACCUUAGCUUUUUUUCCCCCAGAUACAAACUUAUUCAAUACUGUACUAACUCUAGUCAUUGUGCACAAAGUCACAUUCAAGGAUUUUGCAGUAAAUGAGAUUUUAUGAUAGCUUAUUCCAUAAAUGGUAGCCUAUUAGGGAGUGCAAAAACUGUAAAACAGCCUUUUACAAGAAUAAUAAUAAUUUAACUGAUGAUGAAGCCAACAUGUAGUAUGACUUCAUACCUGGAGGUUUAUUUUUUGUCCUACUCACUUCCUAGUGGAAGUAUACCUUUCAGUGGCACUGUAUAGAAUAUGAAACUAUCCCAUAUGAAUUAUCCAUGCAGACUGUAAGCGUAUUGCAGGUAAGAGCAAUGAGCAGACGCGGUGUGCUGGGCAUAGUAUUUUGUAGCCACAAACAUCAUUUGUGACUGCUAGCUAUAUUCAUAACAAUGAUAUACAGUUUAACAAUUAAAUACUUUGAAAUUGCCUCAUGUAUUUUGUAAGGCAUCUUACUUGUGUAAACUUAGUUUGAUGACCAGUUUAAUAACAGUAUAUGACAGUAUAUGACUACUGAAUAAAGCAGUCCCCAAAAAUGGAGGCAAUGAUCAUUAGCAAGGAUAUCAGUUAGCAACUUGGAAGUUAAAUUGCAAAAGAACUCAUUAAAGUAGCUUUUUAUUUUUUUUAAAUUUCAAAACUUGCAGCAUUCGUUUGAAACAGAAUAACCUGGAUUAGCUGGAGUCCGGUUAAAAAUAAUGCAAGGAAUUUGGUGGCAACAGGCAUCAGCCAACAGGAGAGUAGGAAGAAGCUACUUAACCUUCUUUACCCCCGCUAAACAUCAUCAAAUCAGUCUCUAACCGUCUUCAUAGCAAGAUGGUUUGGUGCCCAUCUUUCGCCAGAAGCCGGAUAUUUCACACUUCCUGCCCUCAUACGUCUAUGGCCUUCUGGUUCUCUCGCUCUUGUUUUGUUGUUUGUAUUUUAUGUGAUUUUUGAGUCUUGCAUUUUACUUGAAUUUCCCAAAUUGCAAGCCCGCAUUUCCAGUAAGCCUCCCAGGUGUCAGACUUGUCCUGGAGAUGGUAGCAACCCUUUUUCCCAUUAUGUGUCUUCUUUGUCUACAGACCCACAUCCCACUUGUAUAGGUGCAGAUCUAAUGUUUGCAGUAUAAGUAACCCUUAUUCUGUGUAUUAUCUUUGAUCUCCUGAGCAAUGGAAAUGAUUUUCUAAUAAGAGACAGAAUAAGAGGAAACCAACAGUGCCAUCUUUGAUGGCAGGCAAUCCAAUUCCUUCUUGUUCAGCCUCUUCCUUACCAAAGUCUCCUCUCGCUGCUGUUGCUUCUCAUGAAGACUUCUCUCUCUAUCAUUCUUCUUUGGUUUUUGUCCUUGAAAGAUUCAAGGCAAGGUUUGGGAUUUCAUCAUCUUUCCUAGGAAGAGGUUUCACAGGCAGUCUUUGGACUAUCACUCUUCAUCUCCUUCACCUGGAGCUCGGCCGUCCAAGCAUGUCUAAGCACAGCUGUACUGUCAGAGUAGCGUACGUCUGUGUCUCCUGCCCUAGAACCAGAUCCUUGGCCUACUUGUUACACAGAACAGGAAUUGAUUGUCCAACAAGUCUGUAGGGGGGAUGUUAAUGCUCCGGUUAAGUCAAUUGUGAAGCAACCUUCUCAGGACAGAGACCUUCCUCACUCUCUUAAGUUCACGUUCUCCCAGGAGGGAUGGUGAGUGGCACUCUCGUUUACAGAAAAUGACUCUAGGUCACACAGUGGUGACUGUCCUUCACAUUGCAGCAGCUAAAUGCGUGACUGAACAUCCAUCCCUUCUCUUGCUGGCACUUCCAAACCAAGACCUCAAUCUAGUUCUUACAAGUCACCUAAAAGACCUCAAAGUGCAGGAGUACCACACACAGGUUGUGAACCUUCCGCACUUCAAACCAAGAAGGCCACUCAGAAGUGGCCCUGUCAGCCCCACUUUUCCAAGCCCAGAAGAGUAGGCAGAGGUAGAGCUAGAGGAGGUAGACAAUAGAGGGGGCACACCUCCCCACUUUUGGGGGUGGGGGGGGUUGCCUGGCGAGCCACUGGGCAGCUUGGCAGCAGUACGGAGCGGAGACCUGGGCAGCAGAUGUUCUAUGGGCCGGAUUUCUUACUACCCUUUGAAUUUCCUCCUCCCCUCUCCAAGCUUCCCUCUUCACCAAUCAAUGUAUGCUCCAGGAUCACUGAUGCUUCUAGCUCUCCAAGAGGAAUUGAAGAAAAUGAUGGUAAAGGGGGCUGUGGAGGUAGUUCAGGACCCUUCUAUAGGUUUCUAGUCACAUCUUUCUGGUUUUCAAAGCAACAGGCAACUGGAGACCAGAUAGACCUGUUGACUCUCAACCUUUUUUUAAUGGAGAUGUGAUUAAAGAUGGAAGCUUCAUGGACAGUCCUUGCAGCCAUCAGAAAGGAUGACUUCAUGCUGACUAUAGACCUGAAGGAUGCAUACUAUCAGAUUCUGAUUCACCAAGACAGAGAUCAUCUACUCCUAUUUUGUUGCUGCUUAGGCAUCAUGAUAAAUCUGGAGAAGUCGAAUCUUUCACCCAGUCUGAGGAUCCUUUGCUUGGGCAUGAUCAUAAACAAUACAGUGGUGAAGGUGUUUCCCCUUAGAUCAAUGAACAGACAAGUCCAUGAACAUAACCCUGUCCUUCCUGUCUAAACUGAAGCAUCCAGCUUGUCACUGGCUGGUCAUCCUAGGUUACUUGUAAUCCCUAGUAAAGCUGAUUCCUCACGGUUGAUUUCACCUUCGCUCUCUUCAAUGGAGACUGAAGGAAUUUUGGUUCCCUUCGAGGGAUUCCCCCCAUGCUUCUGGCUCCCCUAUUGACAGAGGUAGGGCCAGACUUAGCAUGGUGACUGGACAACAAAAUCCUGACUCUAGGAGUACCCCCUUCACUACCCCUCUGAAAAUCCUACUGUUCUUGGACGCUUCAUAUGAAGGUUGGGGAGUGCACUUGGAAGAUCUAACAUUAUAUCAACAUGCUUGGAGCUGAAGGCAGCCAUCCUAGCACUUCAGGAAUUCCAAGAAAUGGUCACAUGGCAUUCUAUUGUCAUCAUGUUCGACAACACUACAAUAGUAGCUUAUGUCAACAAAUGGGGACUAGUGUCCUGUCAACUUCACAAGUUGACUAUACAGUUACACCAGUGGGCGAUCUCCUAUUCAUUAGACCUCUCAGCCAAAUACAUCCCAGGGAAGAGGAACAUUGUGGCAGACAAGCUGAGCUGUUAGGGUAAGGUACUGGGGAUGGAAUGUUCACUUCAGCAAGAGGUAGCGGAAAGGCUAUUCCAUCUGUGGGGAAGGUGUACAGUAGACCUUUUUGCAACAAGGUUCAACAGAAAACUAGAGAUUUUUUGUUUGGUUGUUACAGAUCGUGAACCAUGGCAAAAGACACUUUUCAACAUCCCUGGGACAACCUGGAAGGAUAUGCCUUUACCCCCUUUUGCCUAAUCCCUCAAGUGAUCAACAGAGUGAUCAUCUUGCAGAACCUUGGGAAAACCCUAGUGGAUCCCUUUUGGCCACAAGCAGAAUGGUUUCCCAAUCUUCUAACCUGAAGUUCUGAGGGAGAUUCCCCCAUGGCACAACUCCCACCUCGGUGGUCACGAGUUCGAUUCUCGGGCAUUCCAUUGAGGUGUAAGAGAUGUGUAUUUCUGGUGAUAGAAAUUCACUCUCGACGUGGUUCGGAAGUCACGUAAUGCCGUUGGUCCCAUUGCUGAGUAAUCCCUGUUUCCAUGCAACGUAAAAACACCAUAAAAACAAAAAACAAAACCCAUGGCACAACUUAUGCAAACCACACACAAAGAGGUUUCACUGAUUGGUAGGGGCACCACACAUAGAGAGGUUUCAACAAAAGGUAGGUCCUUAUCUCAUCACAACUGGAGACUAGUAUCUCUUGCGAGCGAAAGGCUUUCCUCGCAGAGUAGUGACCGAAAUGUCGGAUUACCUCAGUAGAUUGUCUACUUUCUCUAUAGGGAGAUACUACUCUCAAUUUCAGCCACCAAAGGUUUUAGAACUGCUCUAGGACUGGUUCUUUGUUUAAAGGGCAUGGAUCUCUUUUCAUUCACAAUAGAUCUUGACCUCCAUUGGGAUCUGACCAUGGUGCUCAGCAGUUUUACUCACCCUCCAUAUGAACCCUUGCAAGUCUCAACAGAUAGUUUUCUUACUGGCCUUGGCUUCUUCUAAGAGGGUUGGUGAACUACACAGAGACUCUUUUAAUGUUGACAUAAGAGGGGUUGGAGUUCUGUAGUCUUCGAAUUUGUCGCGGAAUUUGUGGCCAAGACUCAAAUGUCUCUAUUCAUGAUGACAGAUUCAAGUCUUUCCCAGUCACCUUACUUGCUGUUAUCCCCCCAGGGUACUGUGUAGCUAUCUAAAAGAGGCCUCUACAUCUAAGACCUGAUAGCUGAAGUCUUUUUGUUUGCACAGGCCGGAACAAAAAAGAAGUGUCCAAGAAUUCUUUCUCCUUUUGAUUAGACAAACUUACACUUCUGCUGCACAUUUAGAUGGUGAUACAGUGCAUGCAAGAGCACAUGAUGUUAGGGAUCUAGACCCUACCAUCACUUUCAAGAACAAGUCAUCAGUUUACAGGAUUUUGAAGGCAGGUGCCUGGCUUCACCAAACCACCUUCUUAUCCUUUUAUCUGCGGGGAAUUGUCCAUAGGUCCUUGGACACUUUUCCUUGGGUCUGGUGGUGGCUGCUCAACAAGUUACUCUUUCCUUGGGUCUGGAGGUGGCUACUCAAGUUGUGUACCUCAUCCAGUGUUUCAGGUGGGACAGUUUAGUAUCUUACCUAUCAUGUUGGAUAUUUAAGGGAAAGUGAAAGAUGACUAGUCUUCUUCCUUUCUCUUUCUUUUUUACUGGCGGGUCUUCUUUUCUCUUUCUUUUUCUUCUCUAUUGGCAGGCAGUAGAGAGAAUAAAUCCAUCAUAUGCUGGAACUGCUUAGACGCAGGUGAACAAACUUCCAAAUUCUUUAUAGAAGCAAGUACCAUUCCUCUCUUUCAAGGGGAGAGGGGCAAUGGCAACUAAAGGUGAGUUUACACUAGGCUUCACCACAUGAUGCAUACCUAAGACUCAUCACCAACUCCUCCCAAAUUCUUGUAAGCCCCACCUACUGGACUGCUCAUGAAGACUUGCGCCACACCACUAACUCACCGUAAUGAGCAGUCCAGUAGGAAGGGCUAACAAAAAUUUGGGAGGAGUUUGUGAUGAGUCUUACACAUGCAGCGUACGGUGAAGCCUAGUGUAAACUUACCCUAACAAAAUUGGUGGCUAAUGAAAGUUUUGUCUCUGACAGUUCAUUACCAUCAUCAAGACACAAUUAUGCAUUUCAUAUUCUAUUAGCCAAGAUGUCAGACUGUUUAGUAACCUAUGCUCAGCAGAUCAGUGGCUUUUGACGCCUUCAUAUGUCCUGGAAGUGAGCCCAAGUGGUCUGAACCUCCAGUCGGCUCUCUAAGACUUUCUUAUGCUCUCUCCAAGAGUAGGUAAGUCAUCCUUAUAUUAAGACCAAGGUUCAGUAUAUGAACAAUGACAACUCUUAAAUCAAUUUGCCUUUUUCAUAACUAACAAACCUUUGAAUUGAUAUAAAAUUUGUCAUAUAUUAUGGCUGUAUGUAAUAAUAAUAUCCAUCCUGGCUGGGUUGGUAAAAACCUGUAAUUGGCUUUAAAUAAUUAUGCCAAUCUUGGCAGCUUGGUACAGCCAAGAGUAUCACUUGCACAAUAUGAAACAGUAAGGAAGCUGGCUGUCACUGUUGUUUUUGUUGCAGUUUACAGACAAAAUUUAUUCUAUUAAAAGAAAGCUUUAGAGGUUUUCUGAAUCAGUUUUCAUCUUGCUGUCAUUAAAAAAAGGCAAAACUGUUACCUAUAUUUUCUGCACAUUUCUGUGUUCUGAUGGCUUGUGUUGGUAUAUUUAACUAGUGUAUUGUUAUCAGUGUAAAAUAUAAUGUUGAAAUUACUUUUAAAAAGUUAAUGGCCUUAAUUUCCAUCUGGGCUAUUUCUAUACUUUGAGGAAUAUGUUCAGGCUGUGAAAAGUCAUGAAAGAGUGAGUUUUUUUUUAUUCUGCUGAAUCUUGGCUCAUUGUGAGAAAUCUUGAGUUUUCAUAAAGUCCUUGUUUUAGUCUUCCAUAAAUUUAGAAUUUUAGUAUAAUAGUUCAGUACCUGUUUUGAACUGGAAAAACAAUUAGAUUUUUAUCCGGAUUAUUAAUGUGAGAAAAUUAUAUUAUACUUGUGGAAAGUUUAAGUAAUAUACAUUUAAGUCUUAUAACAAGCAAAAAAGGGCAUCUUCAAGUAAUGAUUACAGCUUAGAGGGAGAGUGAACGGUUAUAUAAUAAUGUGCACUGGACUUCUAAGAUCUAUUCCAGUGUUCAUCAACAGAAACUGUGGAGGCCCUUAUCAGUGGUGUUGGUGCCAUAAAUUCAACAUGUUGUUUGUUUCCUAGUACUUUAUCACUAUUUUAUUUUUUUCAUGUUACCCACAAGAAGUGAGUCUUGUAUUUUCUUAAGUUAACUUUAAAAGUCAAGGGUAAUUUUAAUGUUCAUGAUUUAGAAAAACAUUGUACUGAAUAACACUUAACAUCUAAGAGAAUUGCAAAUUUUUAAAUUAAUGGUCCACAUACUAGAAUUGGUAAUAGUUUUUGCUCUAUUACCAUAGCUUGAAUUUAGACCAUGCAGAAUGGUUUUGUUAGAUAUUGUGCAUUUGGAGAAUGCAUAAUGACCAUGAAUUCUUGUCCCAUAAUUUAACAAAUAGUCAAAUUUCUGUUGAUAGAAUAGUUCUGUAAACACUGUGGGUAUUUUUAUCAAAAUUAUAGUAAAUAUAUUGUUUAUAA